rnacentral:rRNA from 1 species
GACGAAGGUGGCGAGCGUUGUUCGGAAUCACUGGGCAUAAAGCGCACGUAGGCGGCGACGUAAGUUGGGUGUGAAAUCCCUCGGCCCAACCGAGGAACUGCGCCCAGUACUGCGUUGCUUGAGGAUCCAAGGGGUGCAUGGAAUUCCCGGUGGAGCGGUGAAAUGCGUUGAUAUCGGAAGGAACUCCGGCGGCGAAAGCGGUGCACUGGUGGAUUACUGACGCUGAGGUGCGAAAGCCAGGGGAGCAAACGGG